rnacentral:rRNA from 1 species
GACGAACGCUGGCGGCGUGCUUAACACAUGCAAGUCGAACGAUGAAGCGGUGCUUGCACCGUGGAUUAGUGGCGAACGGGUGAGUAAUACGUGAGUGACCUACCUUUGACUCUGGGAUAAGCCUGGGAAACUGGGUCUAAUACCGGAUACGACCCAUCUCUGCAUGGGGUGUUGGUGGAAAGCGUUAUGGAGUGGUUUUAGAUGGGCCCACGGCCUAUCAGCUUGUUGGUGAGGUAAUGGCUUACCAAGGCGACGACGGGUAGCCGGCCUGAGAGGGUGACCGGCCACACUAGGACUGAGUCACGGCCCAGACUCCUACGGGAGGCAGCAGUGGGGAAUAUUGCACAAUGGGCGCAAGCCUGAUGCAGCGACGCCGCGUGAGGGAUGACGACCUUCGGGUUGUAAACCUCUGUUAGCAUCGAAGAAGCGAAAGUGACGGUAGGUGCAGAGAAAGCGCCGGCUAACUACGUG